ensembl:misc_RNA Metazoa_SRP Metazoan signal recognition particle RNA
GCCGGGCAUGGUGGCGUGUGCCUGUAGUCCCAGCUACUCAGGAGGCUGAGGCAGAAGAAUUGCUUGAACCCGGAAGGCAGAGGUUGCAGUGAGCUGAGGUCGUGCCACUGCACUCCGGUCUGGGUGACAGAGCGAGAGUCUGUCUCAA